CAGUCGCCGCGGUAAUACGUAGGUGGCAAGCGUUGUCCGGAAUUAUUGGGCGUAAAGGGCUCGCAGGCGGUUUCUUAAGUCUGAUGUGAAAGCCCCCGGCUCAACCGGGGAGGGUCAUUGGAAACUGGGAAACUUGAGUGCAGAAGAGGAGAGUGGAAUUCCACGUGUAGCGGUGAAAUGCGUAGAGAUGUGGAGGAGCACCAGUGGCGAAGGCGACUCUCUGGUCUGUAACUGACGCUGAGGAGCGAAAGCGUGGGGAGCGAACAGGAUUAGAUACCCCCGUAGUCCCUGUCUCUUAUAA
rnacentral:rRNA from 1 species